CGUAGGGUGCAAGCGUUAAUCGGAAUUACUGGGCGUAAAGCGUGCGCAGGCGGCUUUGCAAGACAGAUGUGAAAUCCCCGGGCUCAACCUGGGAACUGCAUUUGUGACUGCAAGGCUAGAGUACGGUAGAGGGGGAUGGAAUUCCGCGUGUAGCAGUGAAAUGCGUAGAUAUGCGGAGGAACACCGAUGGCGAAGGCAAUCCCCUGGACCUGUACUGACGCUCAUGCACGAAAGCGUGGGGAGCAAACAGGAUUAGAUACCCUGGUAGUCCACGCCCUAAACGAUGUCAACUGGUUGUUGGACGGCUGCUGUUCAGUAACGAAGCUAACGCGUGAAGUUGACCGCCUGGGGAGUACGGCCGCAAGGUUG
rnacentral:rRNA from 1 species